rnacentral:tRNA from 1 species
UUCUAAAAUGGCAGAUCAUUGCCUAGGACUUAAGCUCCUAAUAGGAAACUAUAAAGUUUCUUUUAGAAUC